rnacentral:rRNA from 1 species
AUUGAACGCUGGCGGCAUGCCUUACACAUGCAAGUCGAACGGGGGUAGCAAUACCCUAGUGGCGAACGGGUGAGUAAAGCAUCGGAACGUACCCAGUUGUGGGGGAUAACGUAGCGAAAGUUACGCUAAUACCGCAUACGCACUGAGGUGGAAAGCGGGGGACCUUUGGGCCUCGCGCAAUUGGAGCGGCCGAUGUCGGAUUAGCUAGUUGGUGAGGUAAAAGCUCACCAAGGCGACGAUCCGUAGCUGGUCUGAGAGGAUGAUCAGCCACACUGGAACUGAGACACGGUCCAGACUCCUACGGGAGGCAGCAGUGGGGAAUUUUGGACAAUGGGCGAAAGCCUGAUCCAGCCAUGCCGCGUGAGUGAAGAAGGCCUUCGGGUUGUAAAGCUCUUUCAGACGGAAAGAAAUAGCUUCGGUGAAUAUCCGAGGUUGAUGACGGUACCGUAAGAAGAAGCACCGGCUAACUACGUG